ensembl:piRNA 21ur-11403 ncRNA
UUGCAUAUGGAUUAGGCGUCA